GACGAACGCUGGCGGCGUGCUUAACACAUGCAAGUCGAGCGGUAAGGCCCUUUCGGGGGUACACGAGCGGCGAACGGGUGAGUAACACGUGGGUGACCUGCCCUCAGCUCUGGGAUAAGCCCGGGAAACUGGGUCUAAUACCGGAUAUGACUCCAUGACGCAUGUUGUGGGGUGGAAAGCCUUGUGCGGCCGAGGAUGGGCCCGCGGCCUAUCAGCUUGUUGGUGGGGUGAUGGCCUACCAAGGCGACGACGGGUAGCCGGCCUGAGAGGGCGACCGGCCACACUGGGACUGAGAUACGGCCCAGACUCCUACGGGAGGCAGCAGUGGGGAAUCUUGCGCAAUGGGCGAAAGCCUGACGCAGCGACGCCGCGCGA
rnacentral:rRNA from 1 species